GUAGGUGGCAAGCGUUGUCCGGAAUUAUUGGGCGUAAAGCGCGCGCAGGCGGGUUCCUUAAGUCUGAUGUGAAAGCCCACGGGCUCAACCGUGGAGGGUCAUUGGAAACUGGAGAACUUGAGUACAGAAGAGGAAAGCGGAAUUCCACGUGUAGCGGUGAAAUGCGUAGAGAUGUGGAGGAACACCAGUGGCGAAGGCGGCUUUCUGGUCUGUAACUGACGCUGAGGCGCGAAAGCGUGGGGAGCAAACAGGAUUAGAUACCCUGGUAGUCCACGCCGUAAACGAUGAGUGCUAAGUGUUAGGGGGUUUCCGCCCCUUAGUGCUGCAGCUAACGCAUUAAGCACUCCGCCUGGGGAGUACGGCCGCAAGGCUG
rnacentral:rRNA from 1 species